CCUUCUGUUACUGCCUGCUGUGCCCCUUUUGCAUUUUCCAACUCAGCAAACCUGUUCCUGAGCUCUGUUUAUCCUUCAUUAGCCAGUCUUUUCCUCUGCCUGGUUUUCCUAGUCACAUGCUUCCACCGGCCACUUUCCUCAUCCAGCCCCUCCUCAAAGUUCCC